UUACGGCCACAUCACGUUGAAACACGGUACGCGUAUGAUCACUGAAGUUAAGCAACGUCGAGUCUGGUCAAUACCUAGAUGGCCGAUCGCUUGGGAAUACCAGGUGCUGUAAG